CCUACGGGAGGCUGCAGUGGGGAAUAUUGGACAAUGGGGGGAACCCUGAUCCAGCGACGCCGCGUGAGUGAAGAAGUAUUUCGGUAUGUAAAGCUCUAUCAGCAGGGAAGAAAAUGACGGUACCUGACUAAGAAGCCCCGGCUAACUACGUGCCAGCAGCCGCGGUAAUACGUAGGGGGCAAGCGUUAUCCGGAUUUACUGGGUGUAAAGGGAGCGUAGACGGGAGAGCAAGUCUGAUGUGAAAGCUCGGGGCCCAACCCCGGGACUGCCUUGGAAACUGGCGGGCUGGAGUGCAGGAGAGGUAAGCGGAAUUCCUAGUGUAGCGGUGAAAUGCGUAGAUAUUAGGAGGAACACCAGUGGCGAAGGCGGCUUACUGGACAGUAACUGACGUUGAGGCUCGAAAGCGUGGGGAGCAAACAGGAUUAGAUACCCGAGUAGUC
rnacentral:rRNA from 1 species